AUGGAGAUGAAACCCAAAAGAUUUUCGUUGGGGCGUAACCCUCUCAGCGACGCGCCACAUCGGAACCCGGGUGUGGUGGAAAAUGGGCAAGGGCCGGGCCGUCACCCCCCAAGUGGCGCGCCGUAUCUUGAUCCGGAUACGGUGGCAAGUGAGCGAGGAUCGGGUCGUCGCAUCCUUAGUGGCGCGCUACAUCGGCGCCCGGAUGUAGUGGAAAAUGAGCAAGGGUCUUUGCAUUUGACUCGACGAGUGCGAAGGGUAAGGAAGCUAGCCGAGCCUAGGAGGAUUCGCUUAGGUAGCUGGAACGUAGGGUCUCUGACAGGAAAGCUUCGGGAGCUAGUUGAUGCAGCAGUGAGGAGAGGUGUUGAUAUCCUUUGCGUCCAAGAAACCAAAUGGAGAGGACAGAAGGCGAAGGAGGUGGAGGAUACCGGCUUCAAGCUGUGGUACACGGGGACGGCUGCAAACAGAAAUGGCGUAGGCAUCUUGAUCAACAAGAGCCUCAAGUAUGGAGUGGUAGACGUCAGGAGACGUGGGGACCGGAUUAUCCUGGUCAAGCUGGUAGCUGAGGACUUGGUUCUCAAUGUUAUCAGCGCAUAUGCCCCGCAAGUAGGCCACAAUGAGAACACCAAGAGGGAGUUCUGGGAAGGCUUGGAAGACAUGGUUAGGAGUGUACCGAUUGGUGAGAAGCUCUUCAUAGGAGGAGACCUCAAUGGCCACGUGGGUACAUCUAACACAGGUUUUGAAGGGGCGCAUGGGGGCUUUGGCUAUGGCAUCAGGAAUCAAGAAGGAGAAGAUGUCUUAAGCUUUGCUCUAGCCUACAACAUGAUUGUAGCUAACACCCUCUUUAGAAAGAGAGAAUCACAUCUGGUGACUUUUAGUAGUGGCCAACACUCUAGCCAGAUUGAUUUCAUCCUCUCGAGAAGAGAAGAUAGGCGUGCGUGCCUAGACUGUAAGGUGAUACCUGGGGAGAGUGUUGUACCCCAGCAUAAGCUGGUGGUUGCUGACUUCCGCUUUCGGAUUCGUGUCCAGCGGGAUAAGCGUGCCAGGGUCGCUAGAACGAAGUGGUGGAAGUUCAAGGGGGAGGUAGCUCAGGUGUUCAAGGAGAGGGUAUUUAAGGAGGGCCCUUGGGGGGAAGGAGGGGAUGCGGACAAUGUGUGGAUGAAGAUGGCGACUUGCAUUCGUAAGGUGGCCUCGGAGGAGUUUGGAGUGUCCAGGGGAAGGAGAAGCGAAGAUAAGGAUACCUGGUGGUGGAAUGAUGAUGUCCAGAAGGCGCUUAAAGAGAAGAAAGAUUGCUUCAGACGCCUAUACCUGGAUAGGAGUGCAGACAACAUAGAGAAGUACAAGAUGGCGAAGAAGGCCGCAAAGCGAGCUGUUGGUGAAGCAAGGGGUCGGGCAUAUGAGCACCUCUACCAACGGUUAGGCACGAAGGAAGGUGAAAGGGACAUCUAUAAGAUGGCUAAGAUCCGGGAGAGGAAGAUGAGGGAUAUUGGCCAAGUCAAAUGCAUCAAGGACGGAGCAGGCCAACUCUUGGUGAAGGACGAAGAGAUUAAGCAUAGAUGGCGGGAGUACUUCGACAAGCUGUUCAAUGGGGAGAAUGAGAGUUCUACCAUUGAACUGAAUGACUCCUUUCAUGAGACCAGCAUGCGUUUUGUGCGGCGCAUCCAGGAGUCUGAGGUGAAGGAGGCUUUAAAAAGGAUGAAAGGAGGCAAGGCGAUGGGCCCUGAUUGUAUCCCCAUUGAGGUGUGGAAAGGUCUCGGGGACAUAGCGAUAGUAUGGCUAACCAAGCUUUUCAACCUCAUUUUUCGGGCAAACAAGAUGCCAAAAGAAUGGAGACGGAGUAUAUUAGUACCAAUCUUCAAGAACAAGGGGGAUGUUCAGAGUUGUACUAAUUACCGUGGAAUUAAGCUGAUGAGCCAUACAAUGAAGCUAUGGGAGAGAGUCAUUGAGCACCGCUUAAGAAGAAUGACAAGCGUGACCAAAAAUCAGUUUGGUUUCAUGCCUGGGAGGUCGACCAUGGAAGCCAUUUUCUUGGUACGACAACUUAUGGAGAGAUAUAGGGAGCAUAAGAAGGACUUGCAUAUGGUGUUCAUUGACUUGGAGAAGGCCUAUGAUAAGAUACCGCGGAAUGUCAUGUGGUGGGCCUUGGAGAAACACAAAGUCCCAGCAAAGUACAUUACCCUCAUCAAGGACAUGUACAAUAAUGUUGUGACAAGUGUUCGAACAAGUGAUGUCGACAUCGAUGACUUCCCGAUUAAGAUAGGACUACAUCAGGGGUCAGCUUUGAGCCCUUAUCUUUUUGCAUUGGUGAUGGAUGAGGUCACAAGGGGUAUACAAGGAGAUAUCCCAUGGUGUAUGCUCUUUGCGGAUGAUGUGGUGCUAGUUGACGAUAGUCGGACGGGGGUAAAUAGGAAGUUAGAGUUAUGGAGACAAACCUUGGAAUCGAAAGGGUUUAGGCUUAGUAGAACUAAAACCGAGUACAUGAUGUGCGGUUUCAGUACUACUAGCUGUGAGGAGGAGGAGGUUAGCCUUGAUGGCCAGGUGGUACCUCGGAAGGACACCUUUCGGUAUUUGGGGUCAAUGUUGCAGGAGGAUGGGGGUAUUGAUGAAGAUGUGAACCAUCGAAUCAAAGCCGGAUGGAUGAAGUGGCGCCAAGCUUCUGGCAUUCUCUGUGACAAGAGAGUGCCACAAAAGGUAAAAGGCAAGUUCUACAGGACGGCGGUUCGACCCGCAAUGUUGUAUGGCGCGGAGUGUUGGCCGACUAAAAGGCGGCAUGUUCAACAGUUAGGUGUGGCGGAGAUGCGUAUGUUGAGAUGGAUGUGUGGCCACACGAGGAAGGAUCGAGUCCGGAAUGAUGAUAUACGAGAUAGAGUUGGGGUAGCACCAAUUGAGGAGAAGCUUGUCCAACAUCGUUUGAGAUGGUUUGGGCAUAUUCAGCGCAGGCCUCCAGAAGCUCCAGUGCAUAGCGGACGGCUAAAGCGUGCGGAGAAUGUCAAGAGAGGGCGGGGUCGACCGAUUUUGACAUGGGAGGAGUCCGUUAAGAGAGACCUGAAGGAUUGGAGUAUCGACAAAGAGCUAGCUAUGGACAGGGGUGCGUGGAAGCUUGCUAUCCAUGUGCCAGAGCCAUGA
rnacentral:rRNA from 1 species